AACAUAAACUCUCCCAUUCACUCUCUCAUUGCUGUUCAAGCCAAAGAACAAAGGGGGAAAGAAUAGAAAAACCCUAAGGAGGAAAAAUUCAAGUGAAAUUCAUUGGAUUUUCGAAAAACGAAGCGAUCAGAGGUGGUGAGCCCUCUAGUAAGGGUAAGGAUAUCGUACCCGAGGACCAAGAGUAGGAGUACUCCCGUUAUUAUGAGCUCAGGGCAGUUUGUAGAUCGCCAAUUUUGUCGAGAGUUUGCUUUUGGAUUCGUAUCCUUAGAAAUCGUGGGUUUACAGUCGUGUUUAUUUUUGUUAUUUUGGGGCUCACAUGUCAUUGUAAAAUAUUUGUGUUUACCUUGGCACUGUGUGCUAUUAUGUAUAUAAAUUUAUUUUGUUAUUACGCUA